GUGGAGGCGGGUUCAAGACCAGGGCCGGGGAGGCCAUUGCCACUUUCCAGAUGAGAGGUGGGUAAGACUUUCAACUAAGAUACAAGCUUUUCACAUAGUGUGGACACACACAUCCAAUUUUCCAACGGAAAAUUUUGGUGUGUUCUAUAGAAAAGCCCACUUGAGCUUGGUAGACACAAAGGUGGGAUUGUUCAAGAGGAACUCAUUUCUGUCUAAACAUUAUUUUUUAGUAUCAAGAGAUUUCGAGUAUGAGUUCGGUGCUCCUAGGUUAGGUCUAAGCAGCACAUACUCUGUGUCCUUGGCAUUUUUUGUUUUUGGAGACAUUUGUGAGGAAGUAAUUCUUAUCCUUUUGGGGUUUUAUUUGCUGCUUGCCUCUUCUCUGAAAUAUUUAGUUAUCUACUCUACUGGCAAGACUCUAGUCUGGGGAGUGAGCACCAUGUAUUAGCUCAUAUUUUCCACCUUUAGUUCCUUACUUCUUUCCUCAUAUUAUGUGGAAGAAAACUCUCAAGCAGCAAAACUGAGGAAAAGAUUUUAUCUCCUUUCCAUCACUCCCCAUUGACGGAUGUGUUUCCUUGUGUCCUGUUCCUUUAAAAUGGGAGACUGAAAGGUCUGCUCCUUCAUUCCAGAAUAGAGGUUCAGAAAGGCGCUGCAGGUACCCUGGACUCUGAUGGGGAGGGUAGGCUUGGGACUGCAGAUUCAGAACAGCCUUUGCCGCCUGAAUACCAGCUGGAAGAGGGGAGGGGAGGGGGUGAUGGUGACCAAUGCACAAUGUUAUCUAUCCAAACUCUCAUGCUUCAAAGGAACGUUGAUUUCAUUGUUCCCCAAAGGGGACCAGUAAAUAACGAGAUAUUGUCAGAAGCCCGGGUGUUUCCUGCUGGAGACAAGGAUGCUGCCAAGUGUUGGAAGCCUUGGAAUCUAGUCUGUAUGAGCCAUUUUUGAGGAGGAUGGGUUUGGACGAGUGACUUCACCUCUGAAAGAUGCAUUUCCACUUUGUAGAUAAUACAAGUGAUAAAUAAAACCUGUUGUUUGCCCUUACAGGUUGUGUGACAUUGGAUAUAGAAAUAUUUUGGAUACUGAGAAGUGCAUUUUGGAAAUGAUGAUCUAGCAGGAGGAUUUUCUCCUAAAUAUUAAACAAAGCACCACAGAAGCAGCUUUGAUGGUAACAAAGGGUUUGAAGAAGUAGAGAAAGUAUGCACAGUGCUCCUUUGGCUGGGCAGGAAUAUAUAAUGCUGUCUUGCUAAUCCACUACAAGAAGACCUAUGACUUGCUAAUCCAUUACAAGAAGACCUAUGACAGAUGCUUACAGGCUUCCUUUUGCCUUGCAGACUACUUUUCUAUCUCUCUUCCUUUGCAGGUUUUUACAAACUGAUUUCCAUGCCAGCCAAGGUAGACACCCAUUGGAAAGUAGACACUGGGAUUUAACAUUAUAAGAAGUUCAGAAAGACCAGCCCACCACUUGGGAGCCUUGGUUUGGCUGGCUCUCCAAACCCCUGGUCAGAUGGCUAUCUUUCAACUAAAACACAGGCUCAAACACCUUUUUAAAACCAAAUGACAUCAUGUCUGUUGGCAUAUAUUGUUCUAUACUGGAGAUGGGGAAGAGUUGCCCGCCCCUCCAUGAAACAACAUUUGAAGAGUUUAUCGUCAUCUUCCCGAAAAGUGAGCACCUGG